AAAGCCCCGAAUUCAUACCUCAACUUGGCGGAAGGGAAUAUGAAGUCAGGGCCAAGCAUAAAACCUAAGAAGGAUAUUAGCACAUGCACAGUGCAAGACAACAGCCCGCCAGAAGC
rfam:Erwinia tasmaniensis strain ET1/99 complete chromosome.